rnacentral:rRNA from 1 species
UACGGAGGAUCCAAGCGUUAAUCGGAAUUACUGGGCGUAAAGCGUGCGCAGGCGGUUUUGUAAGUCUGUCGUGAAAGCCCCGGGCUCAACCUGGGAAUUGCGAUGGAGACUGCAAGGCUUGAAUCUGGCAGAGGGGGGUAGAAUUCCACGUGUAGCAGUGAAAUGCGUAGAGAUGUGGAGGAACACCGAUGGCGAAGGCAGCCCCCUGGGUCAAGAUUGACGCUCAUGCACGAAAGCGUGGGGAGCAAACAGG